CUUGCAUGCAGGACAGCUCAGUUAGAAAAGUAUAGUGAAUGGAUGGAAUCUACUGUAUGAUAAAAAUGCUACAAACACCAUUUAGUUGCCGUCAAUAAGAAAUUUACUUAUUUAAAAAAAUCCAAAUGCUGGCAUUGUCCAGAAAAUUUUAACAGGUUUAUUUAUAAUUGUUAUAAAGUUGAACUGUUGAAAUGUGUUCACUGAAACAUUUUGCUUGCAUUAAUGCUUUACAUCUUGCAUUUAUAUUAAAAAUUCACACACAAAUGAAAAUGGAAAAACUGCCAAUACCUGAUUUCUGUCCCCUAUUUUUCCACUCGCAAUCAUAUACUUAGGUACCUUUUGACCCCAUGGAAAAAAUAUCUAACAUUCAGAACUACUGAUAACAGGAAGAGGAAAAAAAUUUUUGAGAAUGAAAUGUUUCCCCUCAUAGUGGACUCUUAAGCACGUUUUCUGAGUAUGCGUCGUGCUAGCUGGAUAUCCUGUCUCAAGAAGAAAAAAAAAAAAGAGAAAGAAAGAAAGGCAAAAUUUUUACCUUUGGAAAUUUGGUGUCUAUCAUCAUGAAUCUAACAACUUCCUGGAAGUUUCCUGAUGACAACAGUGAUGAUAUUAACAUUAUUAAUUUUUUUUGAUGGGAUUGGAGCGAUGGAUGGCUCAGUUGUUAAGAGCAUUUGCUGUUUGUUUGUUUGUUUUUGUUUUUGUUUUUCGAGACAGGGUUUCUCUGUAUUGCUUUGGAGGUUAUCCUGGCACACUGGUUUUGUAGACCAGGUUGGCCUCGAACUCACAGAGGUCUGCCUGCCUGGGAUUAAAGGUGUGCGCCACCAACGCCCAGCAUGCAUUUGCUGCUCUUGCAUAGGAUCGAGGUUCAGUUCCCAAGCAUCCACAUUUGGGUGGCUCACAACCUUCUGUAACUCCAGUUCCAGAGGAUCUGAUCCCCUCUUCUGGCUUCCAUGGACACCUGCACACACAAGUGGUACAUAUAAAGUCAUGCAACUUCAUAUACAGACACAUAAGUAAAAAUAAAGCUUUAAAAGGAAGCCACUACUUGUUAACUGGGCAUUAUGGUGCACACCUGCAGUCUUAGUAUUUGUGUGACUGAGGCAGGAGGAUUGCACAUUGUGCAUUUGAGGUAAUCUUAGUCUAUAUAGUUAGUUCCCAGGCUAGAUAAAGAGAUUUAUCU
rnacentral:lncRNA from 1 species